UUUAAGACUUUAGUAAAUGCUGA
rnacentral:piRNA from 1 species